rnacentral:tRNA from 2 species
AUUUAAAUAGCUUAAAAUUUAGAGCAUUAUAUUGAAGAUAUAAGGGUAAUUGUGUAUAUUUUUAAAUA